rnacentral:rRNA from 1 species
ACCGGAGAAUGUUAUCACGGGAGACACACGGCGGGUGCUAACGUCCGUCGUGAAGAGGGAAACAACCCAGACCGCCAGCUAAGGUCCCAAAGUCAUGGUUAAGUGGGAAACGAUGUGGGAAGGCCCAGACAGCCAGGAUGUUGGCUUAGAAGCAGCCAUCAUUUAAAGAAAGCGUAAUAGCUCACUGGUCGAGUCGGCCUGCGCGGAAGAUGUAACGGGGCUAAACCAUGCACCGAAGCUGCGGCAGCGAACGUAUCACCCAAGACAACUUUACGGAGUUGACGAUUGACGGAGCGAAGCGACGUCAAAGCGUUCAUUAAAGUCGAGUUGGCUUAGGGAUACGUUCGUUGGGUAGGGGAGCGUUCUGUAAGCCUGUGAAGGUGUGUCGUGAGGCAUGCUGGAGGUAUCAGAAGUGCGAAUGCUGACAUAAGUAACGAUAAAGCGGGUGAAAAGCCCGCUCGCCGGAAGACCAAGGGUUCCUGUCCAACGUUAAUCGGGGCAGGGUGAGUCGACCCCUAAGGCGAGGCCGAAAGGCGUAGUCGAUGGGAAACGGGUUAAUAUUCCCGUACUUGGUGUUACUGCGAAGGGGGGACGGAGAAGGCUAUGUUGGCCGGGCGACGGUUGUCCCGGUUUAAGCGUGUAGGUGUGUGUUCCAGGUAAAUCCGGUUCACUUUAACACUGAGGCGUGAUGACGAGGCACUACGGUGCUGAAGCAACAAAUGCCCUGCUUCCAGGAAAAGCCUCUAAGCAUCAGGUAACAUCAAAUCGUACCCCAAACCGACACAGGUGGUCAGGUAGAGAAUACCAAGGCGCUUGAGAGAACUCGGGUGAAGGAACUAGGCAAAAUGGUGCCGUAACUUCGGGAGAAGGCACGCUGACACGUAGGUGAAGUGAUUUACUCACGGAGCUGAAGUCAGUCGAAGAUACCAGCUGGCUGCAACUGUUUAUUAAAAACACAGCACUGUGCAAACACGAAAGUGGACGUAUACGGUGUGACGCCUGCCCGGUGCCGGAAGGUUAAUUGAUGGGGUCAGCGCAAGCGAAGCUCCUGAUCGAAGCCCCGGUAAACGGCGGCCGUAACUAUAACGGUCCUAAGGUAGCGAAAUUCCUUGUCGGGURAGGUCGGAACUUACCCGACAAGGAAUUUCGCUACCUUAGGACCGUUAUAGUUACGGCCGCCGUUUACCGGGGCUUCGAUCAGGAGCUUCGCUUACGCUGACCCCAUCAAUUAACCUUCCGGCACCGGGCAGGCGUCACACCGUAUACGUCCACUUUCGUGUUUGCACAGUGCUGUGUUUUUAAUAAACAGUUGCAGCCAGCUGGUAUCUUCGACUGACUUCAGCUCCAUGAGUAAAUCACUUCACCUACGUGUCAGCGUGCCUUCUCCCGAAGUUACGGCACCAUUUUGCCUAGUUCCUUCACCCGAGUUCUCUCAAGCGCCUUGGUAUUCUCUACCUGACCACCUGUGUCGGUUUGGGGUACGAUUUCGUGUUACCUGAUGCUUAGAGGCUUUUCCUGGAAGCAGGGCAUUUGUUGCUUCAGCACCGUAGUGCCUCGUCGUCACGCCUCAGUGUUAAAGUGAACCGGAUUUACCUGGAACACACACCUACACGCUUAAACCGGGACAACCGUCGCCCGGCCAACAUAGCCUUCUCCGUCCCCCCUUCGCAGUAACACCAAGUACGGGAAUAUUAACCCGUUUCCCAUCGACUACGCCUU